UAUUUCAUAGUUUAAUUAGUGUUGGUUUUUGUUGUUUUGUUCCUAUUUGGUCGUUUAACUUCAGUUAGUGGUUCGUUAUUAUUACAUAGUUUAAGUUGUUACGUUAAUUUUACUGGGACGAAAAUGCGGUUCCACAAAAAAUGCAUUGUGCCCCAGUGCCCUGCCAAGUACUCAAAGUCUUUCCAUCAGUUUCCCUCUGAGCCCCUCUUAAGAGAAAAAUGGCUACAUAAAGUAGAGAAGUUUUGUUCUCCAACGCAGCAGAUCGUCAGUCAGUACUCAACCAUUUGCAAUUUGCACUUUAAACCCACAGAUUUUAAGUUUGCAGCAAAUGGUAGUAAACGCUUGCAAAAAAAUGCAGUUCCAACAGUUUUUCAUGUAUAUUUAUUUACAUUUUAAACUUAACAGAAAUAAAAUUAUAGUUUUUAUAGGG